rfam:Gossypium arboreum cultivar AKA8401 contig_9937_5, whole genome shotgun sequence.
AGUCCAUGAUAAGGACACCUUUUCAACAAAUUCUUAAAUUUCUCUCAUGUAUCGCAAAGUGUCUCAAUAUCAAAUUGAACAAAAGAAAAGAUAUCAUUUCUCAACUU